rnacentral:rRNA from 1 species
CGGGGUGCAGCAGGCGCGAAAACUCUACAAUGCAGGCAACUGCGAUAGGGGGACAUCGAGUGGCAUCCACCUUGGGUGCCUGUCCAACCGUCUAAAAAACGGUUGUUAGCAAGGGCCGGCUAAGACCGGUGCCAGCCGCCGCGGUAAUACCGGCGGCUCGAGUGGUGGCCGAUAUUAUUGAGUCUAAAGGGUCCGUAGCCGGCUUUGCAAGUCCCCUGGGAAAUCCAGCGGCUUAACCGUUGGGCUUUCAUGGGAUACUACAUUGCUUGGGACUGGGAGAGGUAGGAAAUACUCGGGGGGUAGGGGUGAAAUCCUGUAAUCCUCCGGGGACCACCGGUGGCGAAGGCGUCCUACCAGAACAGGUCCGACGGUGAGGGACGAAAGCUAGGGGCACGAACCGGAUUAGAUACCCGGGUAGUCCUAGCCGUAAACGAUGCCCGCUAGGUGUCACGACGGUCGUGAAUCGUCGUGGUGCCGUAGGGAAGCCGCGAAGCGGGCCACUUGGGAAGUACGGCCGCAAGGCUGAAACUUAAAGGAAUUGGCGGGGGAGCAC